rnacentral:lncRNA from 1 species
CCCCCUUGGAGCAAGAACCCCAAAACUCAAUUCCAGACUUUUCUUUGUAGUAAGAAACCUAGUAGUAUAAUUUCAGAGAGAUAUAUACACUUAAACACAAGUUAUUGUCUGUAAACUAGAAAAAUGCUUCUCUUUGGCCCUUUUUUGGCCCCUAAAUCCUACAUGUUCGGGGAAAUUAACCCCAAAUUCAAUCCCAGCCGGCCCUUUGUUAUAUGGAACCUUGUUGUACAAUGACAGAGAGAUCCAUACAGUUACACACAAGUUAUUGUCCUGAAACUAGAUUUUUUUUUUAUUUGACCCUUAAUUCCUAGACUGUUUGCCUCAUAACCCUUAAAAUGAAUCCCAACCUUCUAAUUAUGGUAUUAAACAUUGUGGUACAAUUUCAGAGCAAUUGAAAUACUUAUACACAACUUAUUGUCCUGAAACUAGAUAAAUGUUUGUUUUGGGACCCUUAUUCCUAAACCUUUGGGACCAUAACCCCCAAAAUCAAUCCCAA